GGGAGCAACGGUUGCGGACAAGGCCGGUGCCGGUUGGCAGGAUAGGGACGGAAACGGGACUCGAUAUGAUUAAACAUAAUGCUGCCCACUGGAACAAUGCGGAUGCACUAGUGACACUAAUUCGCAGCAUGAUUGGCCUUCAUGUCUACUGGGUGACGUGAGUAUACUACCUUCCAAAGUUAGCCGGUUUUGUCGUCAAGUGCGCUGGUCGUUCGACCGAAUUACCAGCGUGCAGGUAGUAUGGGUGACGGGCAUCCUUAACAAUCCGGAAAGGUGAGACCCCUUGUAUCGUACCAGGCGACGAUACAUGCUCAAUGGCGUCUCGCCGUGUCGCUAGCCAAAUGCCUCGUCAUCUAAUUAGUGACGCGCAUGAAUGGAUGAACGAGAUUCCCACUGUCCCUACCUGCUAUCUAGCGAAACCACAGCCAAGGGAACGGGCUUGGCAGAAUCAGCGGGGAAAGAAGACCCUGUUGAGAUUUACCCCAAAAUGUUCGUGAAGCUGAAGAAAGCUGGAGGUGGAGUGUUGCAUAUGGGCUGCACCCAUGGUGUUGUAUACCAUAACAGGGAAAUAAAAAUAUUAACACAACUUUUCAACAUUAGGACAAAAUCUCACAUCUCUAUUCUGUCGAGAAGAGAGACUCCACUGUCAUCGCAAAAAUCUCUCACUACACCUCAUUGGAACUACGUGACCUGAAAAGCGUUUGCCCACCUGAUCUCUUGAAAGACACCGGUAUUUUGAUGCCAUGGCUAACUGAUAAUGUGAGUACCAAUUAUUUUGACAAAUAUUUGUUUAAUAUUCUUGAUAAUAUUUUUAGUGAACUUCUUAUCUAAAAUGUAAUGUUUAACUUUUAAGACAUGUACAGUAGAUAUUGAAACUCACAUCAUAAUUUUCCUCAAAUUUAUUUUCGUAUUGCGCUUUAAAGGCAGUAAAUUGUAGGGUUGCACAAAUUGCAGCAGAGACCCAGAAUGUAAGUAAUCACUUGAGAACAUAAACUUUUUUUCACACUACUAUUCAGAAACGUAAUUAAGUAUUCCUAUUGUGCGAUUUAUUCAACAUACAGGUUAUGUGACAGAUGUAGCGCACUUCCUUUAUACAAUAUACAUGUAAUUUUGUUCUCUCUUUAGUGUAUAGCCUUGACGACUGACACAUUCAUUUUGUGGCAUAGAGACUGGCUUGCUUCAAAAACAGUUUCAGAUUCUCAUUUGAAAAUUCUUGAGGUACUGUACAAUUUGCAAAAUAAAUAUAUAUUAAGCUCUCCUGCAUGUUUAUACAUGUAAUGGCACAGUAUGUGUUUCCUAUUUCUUUCAUUACAGUAUGAUGCACAGAAAAUUCUGUUUCCAAGAAUUGUUGGUGGCCAGACACCAGAGAGAGGAUGCCACUUCAUUCUUUGGCAAGCUUUAUGGAAAAGAACAUGUGACAUAUUACAUGCAUGGAUUGGUUUGGUGCACCUCCUCAGACAAGAUGCCAAAAAGUAUGCUGUCCUUGAUAACAUAUCAUGCUUCUCAUUUGAAAACUUCCUUGGCCUGGGUGUCUUAAUAAACAAUAGACAGUCAUCGCUCAGUUAUUGGCCCUUGGACUCACCUGGCACCUCUUGUACAGCAUGAAGUUUUCUGCUAUGAAGAUUUACAGAGACUCCAGAAUGAAAAGCAAUGCACCAGCAGCUUCAGAUGACAGCGGCUCACUUCGAGAGCAGGUGAAGCAAGAUGGGACAAUGUUGAAGAUGUUUGCUCACACUGGGCAAUCAGGUGCAGAUCAGACCCCAAUGCUGCGACGUCUUGGGGUGUACUCACACUAGGCACACCGAGUACGAUUGUCCCCCCUCCCCACUCCCCCUCUGGCCUGCACUCACAUAGGGUUUCAGCAUUCGUGCCGGAGCACGCUUACGUCAUCAUUAUGGUGCGACGGUUUCCAUAGGUUUCGGGAUAAACAAGAAGAGCGGCGCUCUCUGAACACUAUGGAGUCCAUCGCUCUGUUUUCUUUGUGGAUAAUUUUCUGUCGUUUGGUCCACAGCCCUCUCACAGCCUGUUGUUAAACAGAUGUGUCGCCUUUGUGGCGCGAAAAUUUUCACGUAAUCGUGCUGCUCGUAUGAGGAGGUUUGCAAGGUACCAGCUGAAGUGCAGAAAGGACUUUGCAGCUUUGAUUACGGACUACAGUUCCUAAAACCAUGACUUCACGCGUCCUGUUCCGUGCCCGAGUCCAACUGAACCGUGCUCUGGCCCACCUCUUCCA